AACGCACCUUGCGCCCUUUGGUAUUCCGAAGGGCAUGCCUGUUUGAGUGUUAUUAAAUUCUCAACCUUUUGAACGCUUUAUUGCGCUCACUAGGCUUGGAUGUGAGGGUUUUGCUGGCUUCCUUCAGUGGCGGUCUGCUCCCUUUAAAUGCAUUAGUGGGAUCCUUUGUGGAUCGGUCACUUGGUGUGAUAAUAUAUCUACGCCGCUUGUACUGUGAAGCAAAACUUAUGGGAACCUGCUUAUAACCGUCUAGCAAUAGACAACUUUUGAACCUUUAACCUCAAAUCAGGUAGGACUACCCGCUGAACUUAA
rnacentral:misc_RNA from 1 species